UUUUUUUUUUAUUGGUUCUGUUUGUCUUCUCUGUUGUUUAUGCUGUGAGUCAAACGUCUAUUUAAAAGGUUGGAUAUUUGCUUUCAAUAUUUUAUUUCAUGAAAUUAUAUUUGUCAGUGAUUAGCUAUCUAGAUGUAAAUAUGGUUAAAAAAAUUAUGGGUUCCUGUAGAUAAUGAUAUCUUUAAGAAAAAAAAAAAAAAAAAGCGAAGGAAGAAAAAAGGGGAAGUUUUUUUGUAGAGCUGAUUUUUACAAAGUAACUAGGUAGGAGACCGUUUUUGUACAGAGUAGCCAUUCCCACGCCCAACAAGUGCAGUCUAGAGCAAUGGGCACAGACCCUUCUGGGAAGCCAGCAGCCUGCAGGAUCAGGGCUUUGAAUUAUUAGUGCUCUUUAGGACUGGCAGCAUCAACCAGUGCCACGCAAUCGAACGUUUUGUUCCCACAAAGGAUUUUAUCUAUAUAUGAGGCUCAGCGUCUCUCAGAAACUCAUUUCACUGUGUAUGCUUUUUAUAUCUCGAUCCUGCAGCCACUCUACAAGAAGAGGAUUGCCUGUGUAAGAGUGCUUGCGAAAGGAAGAGUUGGUAGGAGAAGUCCUUUCUGUAGUAAAUGUCUGACAUUGCAUCCAUCACUCAUUGCUGUUGUUACACUUUCACCUUAUUUCAUGAUCCUAUUGAUACCUCCCCAAAAAUGGAAAGCAUUCUCUCUGGAGGGCAGUCAGUGUGUGUGGAAGUGUCUUGCCACUUCAGAGUUUGUUUUUGCUGUGCGUUUCCUUUAGCGGGUGCUUUGGCUGAGAAACAGGACUCUGGUUUCUUGCAAGUUGCCUCUGCCCGACAUCAUCUCCCAUCCCACUGUUAACAGUACAGAAGAUGCCUUUGCCUUUGAACAGUUAGUCUAGAGUGUAGCUCUGGUUGCUUUUCUCAACGGAAGCUUUUAAUGCUUUUCAAAGCAAAGAUCCAAACAGCACUAUUUUUCUGAAGGGAAAGGGCACAGCAAAAUUGAUUCAAAAGAAAAAAGGGUCUCGUCAAGUCUCCCCCGAGACCAGCUUGCACUGUUUUCACAUCUCUUCAGUCACUUUGGUUAAUCAUUUCAUUUGGUAUUUUCUUGUACAAGUGAUAUGCAUACCUUACAGUACCAGAAGAAUUUAAUAUGCCUCACUUUGUCUUUUAAAAAUGUAACUUGCAGGGAUGCUUUAAAGUGUCAAAUCUGCAAACGCUUCUCUCUUUUCAGUGCGUGAUCACUAGGACUGGGUUUUUUUUGUACUGACUUUUAUAUUGCUUUUGCUAUAGGAAAAAAAGUUAGUGCAGAAAGUGCUAGUGAGUGCCCAGUUGGUAAAAUUACAGAGAUACUCAAAGUCACGCGAGUGGAGUUCCAUAUACUCUUCUCAUCAGGUAAAAUCAGAGUCAGCUUCUAAUCUGAUAAAAUUUCGUGCUGCAUGUCCACUGCAGCUGUCACAAAUCAUUACUGCAUUGCUACACAAGGCUGUUGGUGAGUACAGUUUGACUAGCUCAGGUCCUUUACAGCCAAGGAGUUUCUGACAGGUUUAAAAUCACAAUGAUUUUUGAUUUUAUCCAAAGUGGAAGGAAUGCCAAUGACUACCUAGGUAGCUGGGAGUGAUUGACUUGGUAAGAGGUGACCUUUUUUUACACUCCAAAUAGUUACUAAUAGAAUCCAAUUUCUGCACAGGUCCACUCCUUACAAACCUGUUUUUUCAGUCUUUGUAGAGGAUUUCUGGCAGGCAACAAACAGGAAAUGUCCCAGGUUGACUUGAAUAUAACACAAAAUACCUGAGAAAUUUUGUACCAAAUAUGAAUACUAUUUUUUCACUUUGGGUUUUUUUUUCAGUAGGUAAUGAAGCAGGGAAUCUUUGAGGGGUGUGGACAUCUGCCUGCAUCACCAUCAUCAAAAUGAAAUCCAAGACUGUGAUCAGACAGAUCUGUUGAGUGACUGCAUUUGGGACUUUUACCCUUAACAUACCACUGUUAGAAAUCAUUAAGAUCUUGAUGGUAUAACUUUGGAAGGAAUUUAACUCUGCACAGCUUCAGAUAGAUCCUUCUAAAAGCAUCUGAACUCUUCUGCACCUAACUCUCUUUUUUGCUUUCUAUACUGGAAAUUAAGUUCCUUUGUUGUGGUUGGCUUUUAUUUAGAAAAUUGUCCUACAUUUCUGUCUGCUUCUUAGAUAUAUUUUUUUCCUGAAAUUUUAGCCCAUUCUUUCUUUCUUCCUUUAGGAAUGCCUCAGAAAGUAGAAUGCAGCAUGAAGAAGGAAGGAUCUUGCCAAACUGAGCAUUAGUCAGUGGCACAGCCAAUGAAAGCUGCAUAGCCUGUGCCCCAGUUUGUGUGUGGUUGCACCCAGUGCUAUGCCCAUGCUGCUGAGCUGUGACCUGAAUUCGUGAGGAGUAGCUGUCAGUUUGGGUGCUCAGCAACCCGACCCCUACCAGCUUUUAGUGGGACUUGGGAUUUUAGAGAACUUUGUUGGUUUUCAAAAUUAACCUUGGCACUUCUGAAAAUUUGGCCAAAAGUAUAAUGCAACCUGAGCUUUGUGGUUGGUCCCAGGUGUUAAUGAAGCACUUGUGCAGUCUCAAUAAUUAUCUGGCACAUC